UGGGGAAUAUUGGACAAUGGGCGAAAGCCUGAUCCAGCCAUGCCGCGUGUGUGAAGAAGGUCUUCGGAUUGUAAAGCACUUUAAGUUGGGAGGAAGGGCAGUAAGCGAAUACCUUGCUGUUUUGACGUUACCGACAGAAUAAGCACCGGCUAACUCUGUGCCAGCAGCCGCGGUAAUACAGAGGGUGCAAGCGUUAAUCGGAAUUACUGGGCGUAAAGCGCGCGUAGGUGGUUCGUUAAGUUGAAUGUGAAAGCCCCGGGCUCAACCUGGGAACUGCAUCCAAAACUGGCGGGCUAGAGUAGGGCAGAGGGUGGUGGAAUUUCCUGUGUAGCGGUGAAAUGCGUAGGUAUAGGAAGGAACACCAGUGGCGAAGGCGACCACCUGGGCUCAUACUGACACUGGGGUGCGAAAGCGUGGGGAGCAAACAGG
rnacentral:rRNA from 1 species